rnacentral:rRNA from 1 species
UGGGGAAUUUUCCGCAAUGGGCGCAAGCCUGACGGAGCAACGCCGCGUGAGGGAGGAAGGCCUGUGGGUUGUAAACCUCUUUUCUCUAGGAAGAAGUUCUGACGGUACUAGAGGAAUCAGCAUCGGCUAACUCCGUGCCAGCAGCCGCGGUAAGACGGAGGAUGCAAGCGUUAUCCGGAAUUAUUGGGCGUAAAGCGUCCGUAGGCGGCCGAAUAAGUCAACUGUUAAAGACCGGGGCUUAACCCUGGGAGUGCAGUUGAAACUGUUUAGCUUGAGCGUGGUAGGGGUAGAGGGAAUUCCUAGUGUAGCGGUGAAAUGCGUAGAUAUUAGGAAGAACACCAGUGGCGAAGGCGCUCUACUGGGCCAUGACUGACGCUGAUGGACGAAAGCUAGGGGAGCGAAAGGGAUUAGAUACCCCCGUAGUCC